AUUGAACGCUGGCGGCAGGCUUAACACAUGCAAGUCGAGCGAGCGGCGGACGGGUGAGUAAUGUCUGGGAAACUGCCUGAUGGAGGGGGAUAACUACUGGAAACGGUAGCUAAUACCGCAUACCAUCAGAUGUGCCCAGAUGGGAUUAGCUAGUAGGUGGGGUAAUGGCUCACCUAGGCGACGAUCCCUAGCUGGUCUGAGAGGAUGACCGGCCAAAGUGGAACUGCGAAACGGUCCAGACUCCUAGGGGAGGAAGCGGGGGGGAAUAUUGCACAAUGGGCGCAAGCCGGAUGCAGCCAUGCGGCGUGGGUGAAGAAGGCCUUCGGGUUGUAAAGUACUUUCAGCGAGGAGGCGUUACUCGCAGAAGAAGCACCGGCUAACUCCGUGCCAGCAGCCGCGGUAAUA
rnacentral:rRNA from 1 species